rnacentral:rRNA from 1 species
CCACAGUAGGACUAGUAUACAGUCGAGCGGAUGACGGGAGCUUGCUCCUUGAUUCAGCGGCGGACGGGUGAGUAAUGCCUAGGAAUCUGCCUGGUAGUGGGGGACAACGUUCCGAAAGGAGCGCUAAUACCGCAUACGUCCUACGGGAGAAAGUGGGGGAUCUUCGGACCUCACGCUAUCAGAUGAGCCUAGGUCGGAUUAGCUAGUUGGUGAGGUAAAGGCUCACCAAGGCGACGAUCCGUAACUGGUCUGAGAGGAUGAUCAGUCACACUGGAACUGAGACACGGUCCAGACUCCUACGGGAGGCAGCAGUGGGGAAUAUUGGACAAUGGGCGAAAGCCUGAUCCAGCCAUGCCGCGUGUGUGAAGAAGGUCUUCGGAUUGUAAAGCACUUUAAGUUGGGAGGAAGGGCAGUAAGUUAAUACCUUGCUGUUUUGACGUUACCGACAGAAUAAGCACCGGCUAACUCUGUGCCAGCAGCCGCGGUAAUACAGAGGGUGCAAGCGUUAAUCGGAAUUACUGGGCGUAAAGCGCGCGUAGGUGGUUCGUUAAGUUGGAUGUGAAAGCCCCGGGCUCAACCUGGGAACUGCAUCCAAAACUGGCGAGCUAGAGUAUGGUAGAGGGUGGUGGAAUUUCCUGUGUAGCGGUGAAAUGCGUAGAUAUAGGAAGGAACACCAGUGGCGAAGGCGACCACCUGGACUGAUACUGACACUGAGGUGCGAAAGCGUGGGGAGCAAACAGGAUUAGAU